AUUGAACGCUGGCGGCAUGCUUUACACAUGCAAGUCGAACGGUAACAGGCCGCAAGGUGCUGACGAGUGGCGAACGGGUGAGUAAUGCAUCGGAACGUGCCCAGUCGUGGGGGAUAACUGCUCGAAAGAGCAGCUAAUACCGCAUACGAUCUAUGGAUGAAAGCGGGGGACCGUAAGGCCUCGCGCGAUUGGAGCGGCCGAUGUCAGAUUAGGUAGUUGGUGGGGUAAAGGCUCACCAAGCCAACGAUCUGUAGCUGGUCUGAGAGGACGACCAGCCACACUGGGACUGAGACACGGCCCAGACUCCUACGGGAGGCAGCAGUGGGGAAUUUUGGACAAUGGGCGCAAGCCUGAUCCAGCAAUGCCGCGUGCAGGAAGAAGGCCUUCGGGUUGUAAACUGCUUUUGUACGGAACGAAACGGUCUGGGUUAAUACCCUGGGCUAAUGACGGUACCGUAAGAAUAAGCACCGGCUAACUACGUGCCAGCCGCCGCCGUAACAC
rnacentral:rRNA from 1 species